GGGGGACGAAGGCCCUCGGGUCGUAAACCCCUUUUGUAGAGGGAAGAAGUUCUGACGGUACCUCACGAAUAAGACACGGCUAACUACGUGCCAGCAGCCGCGGUAAUACGUAGGUGUCAAGCGUUGUCCGGAUUUAUUGGGCGUAAAGCGCCCGCAGGCGGCUUGCCAAGUUCGAGGUGAAAUCUCCCGGCUCAACUGGGAGGGUGCCUCGAAAACUGGCAGGCUUGAGGCAGGGAGAGGGAUGUGGAAUUCCAGGUGUAGUGGUGAAAAUGCGUAGAUAUCUGGAGGAACACCAGUGGCGAAGGCGGCAUCCUGGCCCUGUCCUGACGCUCAGGGGCGAAAGCGUGGGGAGCAAACCGGAUUAGAUACCCGGGUAGUCCACGCCGUAAACGAUGAGUACUAGGUGUAGGGGGUAUCGACCCCCUCUGUGCCGAAGCUAACGCGAUAAGUACUCCGCCUGGGGACUACGGCCGCAAGGCUAAAAACUCAAAGGAAUUGACGGGGGGCC
rnacentral:rRNA from 1 species